CCUACGGGAGGCAGCAGUGGGGAAUAUUGCACAAUGGAGGGAACUCUGAUGCAGCGAUGCCGCGUGAGUGAAGAAGUAAUUCGUUAUGUAAAGCUCUAUCAGAAGGGACGAAAGUGAAGGAACCUGAAAAAGACGCUUCGGCUAAAUCAGUGCCAGCAGCCGCGGUAAUACGUAUGGAGCAAGCGUUAUACGGUUUUACUGGUUGUAAAGGGAGAGUAGGUGGCAGAGCAAGUCCGAAGUGAAAACCCAAAGCUCAACUAUGGGAAUGCUUUAGAAACUGCUCAGCUAGAGUGCAGGAGAGGCAAGUGGAAUUCUUAGUGGAGCGGUGAAAUGCGUAGAUAUUAGGAAGAACACCAGUGGCGAAGGCGGCUUGCUGGACUGUAACUGACACUGAGGCUCGAAAGCGUGGGGAGCAAACAGGAUUAGAUACCCGAGUAGUC
rnacentral:rRNA from 1 species